GGAUGCGAUCAUACCAGCACUAAAGCACCGGAUCCCAUCAGAACUCCGUAGUUAAGCGUGCUUGGGCGAGAGUAGUACUAGGAGGGGUGACCUCCUGGGAAGUCCUCGUGUUGCAUUCC
rnacentral:rRNA from 1 species